AUUGUUAAAUUAAUUCAUUGUUAAAACAAUUUGAAUAUAAGAAUUUUUGUCAAUAAUUCUUGUUGUAUAGGUUUACGACGUGUAAUUAAAUAAAAUAAAGGGCGAAAUGAUUUCCCUUUCAGUUGAUUUUAUUCAACGAUUGACCAAAAUACUAAAAAUGAAUAAAAAAAUUAUUCAUUUUUAUUAAUAAAUUGCAUGAACUUAGAUCAACCAAAUAAUGAUAUUUCUAUAACAUAUGGAAUUAUUCGGCCUAAUCAAUUUGUCCAUUUAGAUUUAUCUAGGUGGAAUAAUAAGAAAAGGUAAGAUUCAAAAGAAUUUACAAAAAAGGGAUUUUUUUUAGUAUUUUAGAAAAGGUCGGUUAGGAGAGGAAGGUAUCUGUACUUGAAUAACUAUAAGCCAAACCUUCUAGAUGUUUCGACGCUUGAUUCUCCAAUAGGAUUGAAUCUAAGAUGAAUGCUUGGUUUACGUUAUGGAAGAAAGACAUGUAUAUGUGAUAUUAGAUAUUGACUCGUGCUAGUUAUAUAUGAAAUGAACUAAAGAUAUAUUUUACUACUCUAGGGGAUUCUAAUAGACUAGAAGUCCUUCCGGCCCCUUGUGACUGUGAAUUGAAUGAAUAAACGGAUGAAAUCAAGAAAUAAUUCAACUAAUAGUUCGAACCAAGAACAAGAAAUGGGAGAACGAAAGUCGUCUGGGUUCACAAAGACUCUGUGGCUAAAAAGUAAAAAAGAUAUAUCGAAGUAGUUCUGAUGAUUCAAUAAUCUUAUUACUUCAAUUCGAAGUUCUUAGUUACUUCGACUGGAUGAGUCCUAGCGAGGGAAUAAUUAAGUCAUAAUUCAUUUGUUGAUUGUAUCAUUAACCAUUUCUUUUUUUUGGUACGAGGAACUUAUCAUGAAUCCACUGAUUUCUGCCGCUUCCGUUAUUGCUGCUGGAUUGGCCGUAGGGCUUGCUUCUAUUGGACCUGGAGUUGGUCAAGGGACUGCCGCGGGUCAAGCUGUAGAGGGUAUCGCGAGACAGCCUGAGGCAGAGGGAAAAAUACGAGGUACGCUAUUACUUAGUCUAGCUUUUAUGGAAGCUUUAACAAUUUAUGGACUGGUUGUAGCAUUAGCACUUUUAUUUGCAAAUCCUUUUGUUUAAUCUUAGCUUAGAAAUAUGAAAAAUAAAUAUAUUUUUCAUAUUUUAUUGCCUUUGACUUGUCGUUUACUUUUUCAAAUUCUAUCAAGAUUUCCCUCCUCCAAUUUUUUAUUCUUUGAGAAAAGAACCUACGGGAAGGGUCGAUUUACGGAUGAGGAAUUAGUAUUUACGGAUGAGGAAUUAGCAUACUGACUCGCUUUCACCCUUUCCGUUCAUAGACCAAGGAAAAAAGUGUUAGUGUUCUAAUAACCAAUAAAGGGCUAGUUCAUUAGUUCAUAAUUUAUAACUAACUUGAAUAUUUUUUAUUUUUUUACUCAAUUUCAGAAAAAAUAAAAGAAUAAAUAAAAAGAGGGGCGAAGUGCUACAAAAAGAACUCUGUUCGAUUUUUUAGUCUAUCUAUAAGAGGAGAUCAUAUGAAAAACGUAACCGAUUCUUUCGUUUCUUUGGGCCACUGGCCAUCUGCCGGGAGUUUCGGGUUUAAUACCGAUAUUUUAGCAACAAAUCCAAUAAAUCUAAGUGUAGUGCUUGGUGUAUUGAUUUUUUUUGGAAAGGGAGUGUGUGCGGGUUGUUUAUUUCAAGAAUAGGCUGGACCAACCAGCUGUACCCUUUUCCGUUAUAAGUAGGAAAGAGAGGUGCAUAGCAUUUCGCGAUUCAUUGGUAAAUCAAUUUUGAUUCUCUAUNNNNNNNNNNNNNNNNNNNNNNNNNNNNNNNNNNNNNNNNNNNNNNNNNNNNNNNNNNNNNNNNNNNNNNNNNNNNNNNNNNNNNNNNNNNNNNNNNNNNNNNNNNNNNNNNNNNNNNNNNNNNNNNNNNNNNNNNNNNNNNNNNNNNNNNNNNNNNNNNNNNNNNNNNNNNNNNNNNNNNNNNNNNNNNNNNNNNNNNNNNNNNNNNNNNNNNNNNNNNNNNNNNNNNNNNNNNNNNNNNNNNNNNNNNNNNNNNNNNNNNNNNNNNNNNNNNNNNNNNNNNNNNNNNNNNNNNNNNNNNNNNNNNNNNNNNNNNNNNNNNNNNNNNNNNNNNNNNNNNNNNNNNNNNNNNNNNNNNNNNNNNNNNNNNNNNNNNNNNNNNNNNNNNNNNNNNNNNNNNNNNNNNNNNNNNNNNNNNNNNNNNNNNNNNNNNNNNNNNNNNNNNNNNNNNNNNNNNNNNNNNNNNNNNNNNNNNNNNNNNNNNNNNNNNNNNNNNNNNNNNNNNNNNNNNNNNNNNNNNNNNNNNNNNNNNNNNNNNNNNNNNNNNNNNNNNNNNNNNNNNNNNNNNNNNNNNNNNNNNNNNNNNNNNNNNNNNNNNNNNNNNNNNNNNNNNNNNNNNNNNNNNNNNNNNNNNNNNNNNNNNNNNNNNNNNNNNNNNNNNNNNNNNNNNNNNNNNNNNNNNNNNNNNNNNNNNNNNNNNNNNNNNNNNNNNNNNNNNNNNNNNNNNNNNNNNNNNNNNNNNNNNNNNNNNNNNNNNNNNNNNNNNNNNNNNNNNNNNNNNNNNNNNNNNNNNNNNNNNNNNNNNNNNNNNNNNNNNNNNNNNNNNNNNNNNNNNNNNNNNNNNNNNNNNNNNNNNNNNNNNNNNNNNNNNNNNNNNNNNNNNNNNNNNNNNNNNNNNNNNNNNNNNNNNNNNNNNNNNNNNNNNNNNNNNNNNNNNNNNNNNNNNNNNNNNNNNNNNNNNNNNNNNNNNNNNNNNNNNNNNNNNNNNNNNNNNNNNNNNUAAUGGUGUUGAAGAAGAUAUUGUGUUGAAAAAGAAAUGGUGGGUGGUUAAACGAUAUAAUUUAAUUUCAAAAUGGAGCUUUAAUGAUAUGAUUUUAAAAAAAGAAAAAAGCUUCAAUGGAGGAACUUUAAUGGUGGCAUUGUGUUGAAGAAAAACGGAUGGGGUUAUGGUGAUGAUGAAUAUGUUAUUGUUGUGAGCGUAAUUGAUUGUUGUUGUUGUAAUUGAUGUUGUGUGUUGUAAUUGAUAUUGUUGAGUGAUGGUGAUGAAAAAGAAGUUGGGGAAGAAGACAAUGGUGGACGGGGGUUGCGGUAGGGUGGGGUAUGAAAUAAUUUUUAAAAAUAAAUAAAUAUUAAUUUUUUAAAAUAUAUAUAUAUAUAUUAUAUAUUAAAUUAUUUUACAUGUGCCAGCUUGUAAUUGGUCAAAAAAGUCAAAUUUCAGCCCUUUCACGUACCUGUGGCACGUGUGUACACGCAGAGGGUCAAAAUGGUGUGUUUGCAAUGAAAUAAAGAAGAGUCGUGGGGUAAUAGGUCGAAGUUAAAGUUUAGGUAUCUUUUUGCAAAUCUCGGACAAGAUCAGUGGUGUAAUUAUGUAUUUUCUCUUUAGAAUAUGUUUUUUCUCUGACCAUAUGUUUUAGAACAACUUAAUUAUUAAUUUUCCUAAUACUUCUCAUGUAUGUUUCUCUUACCAAAAAACUUCAUAAAAGUGACCAUUCUAUGUGAUUGUUUCAACUAUAAAACCAUGCCUAAUUUCCAUCCACUUUAACACAAGAUUCAACCUCACUAAUCUCUAUAACGAUAUUUCGUUAUAGUGCAGAUAGCACAAUGCGAGGUUCAAUGAUGUUACAAAAUCUUCUAAGCUAACACAAUAGAGAAUGAUCGGAGACAUCCUCAAGUGAAGGUCUUGAGAGCCUCAUUUGCAAUGCUACGUAGGAAGAUUUCUUGACUUAUGGGAAAAGAUAUGAAGGGUUGAGCUCUAAUGAAUGGAAGCCCUUUGAGCGUCUGCUAAAUGGUGUUCUAUUGGCUGUUUAGUAGACAAAAGAACAUCAGAUUGUAUAUUUUCGAAGGAUUUCCCAUCCGUGGAGGUCAAGCCUUCAAUUCCUUUUCUUAUAAAUUGAGCAAGCACCAAACGUAGCAUUGAUAAUUCAACUUUCAAGACCUUCCUUCAGGUUCGGCCGAUCAUUUUUUGCUGAAGUUGGCUCAGAAGAUUCUGGAGAACCGUUGUACCUAGCCAAUAUGUUAUCCAUGCUAUCGCAAAACCACAGCUUUCAAUCAUAAUGGAUCAAGCAUAUCUCUAUCUAAAUUGCGCAAACUAAAUUAUUUUAGCUUCUGUCUUCUUGAGAAAUUAAAAAAUAUAUAGGAAAAUCUAAGGUUUUGAGAUGUAUUUUUUUUACUAGUAACCAACUUUGGGAUCCCGCUAUUUUUUUCACUAGUCCUCCGCUUUUUGUUACUAUCUAUUAUCCCUUGUACUUCGAUUAUCACAUUUUUUGUUAUUGCUAUUGUUAUUUGAUAUGUGUUUCUUGAAGAUGAGGUAGAGGUAAAGCUACCAACUUUUUGGAUCCCAAGAUUUCGAAUGAUUGUAGAAAAGAAAAUUUUGUUUCCUAUUUGUUGCCAUCUAUUUUCCUUGGACUCUUAAAAAAUGUUAGAUCGAUGUGUGAAGGAUCAUUUAACAAAGAAUUUCACACGGAACAUAUGACUUUGAGAGUUUUAAGAUUAAAGCAUGUUGACUUUAAGAUCAAAUAGGACUUACAGAGUUGUAAUGGUUACUAAGGACGGUAGGAAUUAUUUAGAUAAAAUAAUAACUAUCCUCCCUAAUCACUUCAAUACAACAUAUGUUUUCAAUCAUUUUUGGAGGAUCCGGCAUGGUACGGUAGCAUUUUUGGAGAUUCAAGCAGCAUAGGUUGAUAUUACUUCAAGAUUUCACAUUGUAAAGGAAUGUUGAAAUUGUAGGCCAAUACAACAUAUCAGCAGUGGAUGGACCUGCAUCCACAUUUUCAGGCUUGAUCGGUUACAUAUAUAUACUUAGAGAAGUUAAAAGAAUUUUUGUAAGAGUGUAUAUAUUCCUCACUCUAUGAACUCUUGAUGUCUUCCAUGAUGGACCAAAUACGGUUACCUCUUCUCAGCUAAAUUUUACUUUCAGAACACCUCUAUAUUUGAGUAUAAUAUUGAACAUCUAUCAUUUAUAUCAACUGUGUCCAAUGUUAGAAAGGAUCUAAACCUUAAUUUAGUUUUAACCUAUAUCAAUUAUAUAAUUUGUGUUCUACAAAGCUACAAUAAGCGGCGUUCUACUUUUGCAUGUAUUUGGAACAUGAAACUGUUUUCCUGAGCAUCCUGUAGAAGUAAUUAUAUUUUUUUCUAUAUCAGGUUGUGCAAUUUCUUCACUUGUAUUGUAUUUACCUUCUUAGCUUGAAGCACAAGUAGUAAAGACACUAGUAAGUGUGUUAAAGACAAAUCAGCAGUAAAAGGAAACCUAUGUGCUCUUGAUGUUUCUUCACAUAAUAUAAGAACGCUAGGAUGUUUGUUCUCCUAGUGAUUCUGGUGCUUUCCGUUUCCAUCUCAUAUGAUGUUAGAACAUCAAGAAAAGAGAUGUUAUUGAAGGUUAGACAUUCAGUUCAGGUCAAUGUUAUCAAAAGCAAAAAGUGCUAAUCAAAAAGCUUUGAAGUCUGUUCGGGUUUUAAGGGCGAAGCAAAUAUAAAGUAUCAACUUUAAAGGGAUCAUAAAAAGAACAAAUAGAACAAAUGAAAAAAAAAUACAAAAGUAUGUUUUUUUUUCGAGACAUAUAAUCAUAAGUAUGAAUAACAACAAAUGUAUGGACAAAGAAACUGAAAAAAUAUUUAUGGUUAUCAAUUUGUAUGGACAUGUUUAGUUGAGUUGCUCACAUGUUUGGUGUGGUCAUUUUCUUGAUGAAUCACUUUUCAUGAUAUUACCUUUGUAAUUCUUAUUGGUUAUAUUUACUUUGGAAUAUCAAAGCUUGUUUCUGUAACUAACGUACUAUAUAUUUCAAUUUUUAAAGAUGAUAUUACUCAUAUAUAAUAUUUACUAAAAUUUUCAUAACGUUGUUGACCUUAGAUAGGAUGGUAUGAAUCUUGUAGUAGCUUUCAGCCAAACCUUUGUAUUUGUAUUAAGUCCACUAUCUAUAUACAAAAAAUAAAUUUUAACUAGAACAGGAGAUUUAGGAAACAAAGUUGGAACCUAGUAAUAACUUUUAUUACUAUUAUAUGGUGUCACACUGUUAAUUUCCUCUUUUUUGAUAGUAUUUUAUUUUGUUAAUUAAUGGUCGAAUCGUGUUCCGCUCUAACAAACAUUGUGAUGAAAUCACAAACAGUUUAAAUAAGACAUGAUAUUUAGGAAGUAAUACUGAAAAGGACUGGCCCUUGUUUGAUAGGACUCAACAAUUUAAAUUAGACAAGUAAAUAAUCUCAUAUUUAUUAUUCUCAACUAGAUCUACUAAUUUAAGCUUUGUUAAAAAACAAAAAAAGAUUUAAGCUUCUUUCCGAAUUGACCUACAACUUUUGCAAACUUCCAUACUUCACUAUGUAUGAAAUUAGAUUUGAAGCAAUAACUGUUGGAUUCGAAAUCUAGAGGGCGUCAUACGGAAGCUUAAAGUUUGCAAACCAUGAGAUGAUAAAUUAGACGACAAAGAAAACUAAACAAAAAAUGUAAUAUUAUUAAUAUGUUUUGGUCAAGAGAGCUACAUAUUGAUAAUAUAAUAUCGAAAAAUAUUAAACCUAUUGGGAGAAAUUUCCCCCUAAACAAAGACUCUUUAAAGACUAUAUUGUGGGUGCUUAUUGUGUUAUGGUAUGAGAAGGGGGUGUUCUAUUUAUACCUAUGCAAAACCUUUCCUCCAAGUAAGAGGUUUGCCAAAUAUAAAAAAGUUUUAUAUUUUCAUUUCAGGAAAAAGUAAAAGUAAUUAUGAUAUUACUUUAUUUUCCUUCUAAGAAAAGUAAAACUUAAAUUUGGUAAGAAAAUUAGGGCAAAAACCCUAAUAGAUCUCCCCAAACAUGGCUUGAUUUAAACGUAUCAUAAAACGUGGAUUAGAACCUCAAUUAAUCAUUAUAAACAUGAACAUAAUCAAACCCAGCACGGAAUCCAUGAAAUCCAUAAACUUCAAGUAACAAAAUAGUUUCUUGGACUCCAAGGGUAGAAGGGACCCUUGAAUGAACACUUCACAUACUUUAGUUAAUGAAAUUCUGAAAGUUAAUGGUGAGUUCUUGAGUUCUUGAUUUUAAAUUUGAACACCUACGGUUUUUGUUCUUGAGAAAUUUGUGAAAGAAUGAAUAUAAUUGCUCUUCAAAGGGUUUAAUUUCAUGUUUUGGGGGCUGAAGGGCGUGGGAAAAAGACUUACUUAACCCUGAGGACACGGCCUUUUAAUGCCUGUAAACUGUGUUACCGACGUGUAGACCGAUGCAUCGCGUCGUUGGCAUCGACGUGAUAGCCAAUGUACCGCAUUGAGUCCGUAUCAGUUCACUGGAAUUUGCACUGAAGUUGGGGAAAAACUAUCUUAUCAGCACGAUGGUCGAUGUGACACAUCAAGAUCACAUCAACUCACUAUUUUGGGCACUUAAACAUCGUCUAAAGGAGAUUCGAAAAAUCUAAAACUUGUCCUUGUCUGGGAACCUCUACUGAUAUUCCUGAUCAUGAAUUAACUCAAAUAUCAAUAUUUAAAGGGUGUAAAUAUUAUGAAAUAAGAUUACCAAUUUUUGAAGGCUAAAAUGGUACUAAGUCUGAAUACUUAGUUAAUAUAUUCUAAGUCUGGGACCCCUAACAAGCUUAAAGGACUGAAUUAAGCUAAGAAUUUUGCGGGGUCUUACAGCUUAACAUUAAGUUAAUAUGAAUUGUUUUAACUCUGAGUAAUCGAUCGAUGACUCAAGUUGGGAGAAACGCAAUACCAGUAUCAGGCAAUUGCAAAGACUCAAUUGAAGUUUUAGUUGACCCUAUGUACUCAUCCCUAGUUCUACAUAAAUCAAUUUAGGUAUUAUCUUAAAAAUAAGUUAAUAUGAAUCUUUUCAACUCAGAGUGAUCGAUUCACGAUUCGGGUCCUGAGGAACAUAAUACCAACAUCAUGUAAUUGAAAAGACUCAAUUGACAUUGUAGUUGAACCUAUGUACUCAUCCCUAGUUCUAGAUAAAUCAAUUUAGGUAUUAGCUUAACAUUAAGUUAACAUGAAUCGUUUCAACUUAAAGUAAUCGAUCAACGACUCGGGUCGGGAGGAAUCCAAUACCAACUUCAUGCAAUUGCAAGACUCAAUUGAAGUUGUAGUUGACCCUAUAUACUCAUCCCUAGUUCUAGCUAAAUCAAUUUCAAAGAAAUUUUUGCAACAGAUUACUGAGUUGUUGGAUAUUUUCAAAUAGAUAUUUAGAUCUGUUGCAACAGAUUACCUAUCUGAUUUAAUUUCAAAUAGACAUUUGCAUCUGUUACAGAUGGCUGACCUAUUGAAAAUUUUCUAACAAAUAUUGAUAUCUGUUGCAACAGAUGACAUAUCUUAUUUAAUUAUCAAAUAUACAUUUCCAUCUAUUGUGACAGAUGAAUGAGCUAUUGGAAAUUUUCAAACAGAUAUUGAUAUUUAUUACAACAGAUGAAAUAUAUGUUUGAAAAUAUUUUUUUUAAUUUUAAAAAAAUCUUUCGGCCGAAAGAAGAAAGAUAAAAUAGUACUACUAAGGCAGUAAAAAAUAUUUCUUGGAUAAUUCAAAAAUCUCCUCUUUGAGUAGCCUUAUCUUGUCUUUUCAAUAUCACCCAUCUUUCUCGUGCCCCUCAAGUUAUUAAUGAAUAUUUAAACCCAUGUCUAAAAUUAUCUCUCCUUCAGCCCUAAAUUUAUUUAUCUCUCUUCUAUUUCUUUCUCUCCUCUUCCGGAUUAUCAUAGUCGUGUCUUUUUUUUUUCUCUUUUAUCUCAUCUUUAUCAUAAGGAUUCUUUCAUAUCUAAACUAAUCUAUAUUUUUCCUCAACUAAAAUUACUAUUUUGAUCCCCCUGCUUUUAACAUUGCAGGUGUAGUUCACUAUUGCUCUUUCAUUCUCGUCAUCUUCUUUGUAAGUUAUUUAAAUUAGUUAUUUACAUCAAUUUUUUUGUUUAAUUACCCUUUACCCAUAUCAUAUUUGUUUAAAAAAUUUUAAGGAAAGGUUACUUUUAAAUCUUGAAUGAAUGAACCAUUAUUUUAAUUAAAAUAUGCAAAAAAAAGUCAUCUAUUAGGAGAAGUUUAAAACCCUUGUUGGCAGUAUCAUUUUUUUGUGUGUAUUUUAUUUGUUUCUUUGUUGUUGAUGCUGUUGUUGAUGUUGUUGAUGAGGUUGGUGUUGUUGGAACUUAUGGUGUGGUGUGGUUGAUGGUGCUGGAAUAAAUAAUGUUUAUUCUUUGUUGUUGAUGGUGUUUGAAAAAAUGAUGUUAUUUCUUUGUUGUUGAUGUUGUUGUUAAUGUUGUUUCUUUGUUGUUGAUAUUGUUGUUGAUGUUGUAACAGACGGAGCAAAUAUUGGAACAUAGAUUGAUCAUGAAUCCUUGAUGUGCAUAUUGUUUGUCUUUUUAUACCUUUUUGAAGAAAUCUCUCAGCCAACUGACUGACUCCUGCACAAAUUGACUCCUCCAUCUCGACAGCAGGAAGGCUGGAUUUAAGGAGCUUUUCAGCAUGCUGUAAAUAAGAUUGAUCAUGUAAUUUUGCUUCCUGUGAGUUGAUUCUUUUAUUUUUGAAACGUUCACCUCCACUAGGAAGUUUCUGUCCGCUAUAAUCCCCUGGUAGAGUAGCAACUUUUGUCUCUUCAGAGAUGUAUCUUUUCUCUUUAUCCUUGUCCUUCUUUUUGUCCUUACGUUUUUCCUUCUUUUCCUAGUGUUUGUCCUUUUUGUCCUUAUAUAUUUCCUGCUCGUUUAGGCAGGAAAUAUGUUUCUUGUGGAUUUAUUCACCUUUUUCGCAAGAGGAAAGGAGACGACAUUCCGUUAGUUCAGUUGAUUUGAACUAACAGAAGGAUUAACAAUUGGAAUAACAUGCAUGAAAAAGGUGAACCUUCAUUCAUGUACCGUACAAUCUGCACCAAGAUAUGAUAACAGCUCAUUCACACUGAAUACACAAGAUCUGAAUAAAAUAAAAACUAGACUAAUAUGGUAACAUAACAUCCAAACACAUAUAGUGUAAGUAGAGAUCAAUUUUAAAACAUCUUAUCCUCCUUAAAUCCUGAUUGGUUUUGAGAAGAUUCAUGCAUAGAGUGCUUACUAAACAAUUUUAUAGGCCUGAGCGCAGAAAUAUUUAAUCUUAAAAGAACUAACUACAACUUAAAUGAUGUAUCUUAACGAGUUAAUUUCCUAUCUUAAUUUCCAAUGGAGGUUGCAAAUAUUCAGCAUAGAAAAACUAUUACUAAUCUUCAAGCCUACUAUUGCAUCACACGUAGUAAUGAUUAACAUCACUAAUUACUCUUUUCAGAUUAAACCAUCUACAUUAUACUGUCCACUUUAUCCUUUUCUAACAGUUUCUCCAAAGGAAAUACUAUUGCAGUUGUUAUCCCUAGGACGACAAAUAAUUCAAUUAACUAAUUAUCUCUUACAGCCUAUCUAUGAAUGAAGGCUAAUUCAUCAAUAAAAUAAGAUGAGCACAACAAACAUGUGAAUAGCUGAACUCAUUCAUUUCUGAAAGAAUGACAAACCUUCAAUAGGCCUCUUUUCCUUGAAGUUCUGAGAUCAUCUAUAAUGAAAUCGAAAACCUCACCAGAAUCAUUAGGAACAGAAAUAUCUUGGUUGCUUUUUUGUGGUGUUCUUUUGUUGUUCAAAAAUAGCUUUAGGAGAACAUGGAAUUCCUGAUUGUCCAUCUUUGACACCAUUGAUUUGUUCAUUUACUGACUUAAUUGUAUUUUUACUACUUGCUGGUAUCUUCGAGAUUUUCUUAUUUUGCUAGUAUAGACAGUUAGUCAAUUUCAGUAUGUUUUUAGAUGUUAAUAUUAUAUUUCAGUAUUGAUUACAGUUGUUAAAAUCUUAUGGCAUUCUAGUUAAAAUCCACAAAAUAAGCUUCUGUUAUCAGUUUUAUUCAGUGCUCGAAGUAGGUACUAGCCAUGGGUUAGUUUGUGGUCUUUCGGGACAGUAAGCACCAUGUAGCGUCCAGGGUGUACUCUCGGGGAGUUACAGUUGGGCUUCGAGUUCCUUUUGGACUUUCAACCGUCAAUCGAUGUCUCAGCAUUGCUCUCCAGUGACAACAACUUUGAGUUCGUCAUCGUCCUUUUUCUUCUUUCACAGGUAAAAAUUAGGGCUUUUUAGUUAUUAAGAAAAAGAGGAACUUGAGUCAACUUCUCUUCUAGUAUUGGUUAAUAAUUUCAAUAUCUUUUAAUUUAAUUUGAAAUGUGAUCUAAUUUCUAGUAUUUCUUUUCUUCUCUUUUUGGAGUAAAAUAUGAUUUUUUAUUAUUUGUUAUAUUUUUUGAAGUUUGAUUUAUGUUGUUCGUGUUGCGCCUGUUGGUGGGUUGAUUUGUUCUUGUUCUUGGUAACAAUGGUCAUAUUCUGAUGUAACAAAUUAACCUUUCGAUGCAAUAAAUUAUAAAUCUAAUGCAACAUAUUUACUAUUUGAUGUCUGAUGAAAAAGAUUAACCAUGUGAUACAACAGAUUAACUAUCUGGUAUAAUAGAUUUACCAUCAUAUGCAACAGAUUAACCAUCUGGUACAACAGAUUUACCAUCAUAUUCAACAGUUUAACUAUCUGAUGCAACAGAUUAACUAUCUGAUGCAACAAAUUUACCAUCAUAUUAAAAUAUGAUACAAUAGAGGAACCAUCUGAUGUAACAGAUUUACCAUCAAAUUAAAAAUCUAAUGCAAUAGAUUAAUCAUCUGACAUAAUAGAGAAACUUUCUGUUGGGUAAAAUCCUGUCAACUAUUUCAAUAGGACAUGUCCAGGAUUGAUUUAUCCAACUAAUCAUUCAUCUAUUAUGAUAGAUGACCCUUUUGUUAGAAGAAAUCUAAACAAUAUUGAGCAUUGAUAACAGUUCCAAUAGAUCACUCAUAUGUUGCAACAGAUGUGUGAUCCGUUGCAUAGAUGAGUGAUCUAUUUCAAUAGAUGAGUGAUCUAUUUUUAUUAUUGCAGCAAAUUACUCAUCAGUUGCAAAAAUUUAGUUAUAUAUUAUAACAGAUAACCUACCUGGUAAAACAGAUGUGUGAUCUAUUAGAACUGUUAUUUUACUGUUGUGCUUGUUAGAUUUACUGUUCUCCUUUUUUAGCGGUGCGUUAAUCAAUUAUAUUUUAUUUUAUGUUUCUAUUAAUGUUAGAUAAUAUGGCUCCCAAAAAAAAAAACCCAAUCAAGUCCAAGUAAAGGAACAAGUGAAGCAGCUAGGCUACAUCCAUCACUCUAUAAUCUUUCUUUACAAGAAUUAUCUCAAUUAGGAGCAGAAGAUGAUGAGUAUGGGGAGAAGAAAUGUUUCAAAAUAUAUGAUCCAAAUGCUAAUCCAUUCCACCGAAGAGUUGGACAAAACCUUCUGCAAUGAUAGUUAUCCUAUGAGAAUGCGGUGCGAUCGUGCCACAGAUUUAACGGGUGAUUUCAUGGUUAAGUCAACCAUGGAAAAAUCUUUCGAUGCCUUCAGGAAAUACUUUGAGAACAAAAUUUGGAUGAUUAUUUCAGGGACAUAUGCUUUGGGUAAUUUCUUGAUUUAUCGAAGGACAACAAUGCUCGUUUCCAAAUGAAAAUGGUAUAUGAUCUUCUCAAGCGUAGGUUUAUUUAUGAAAAAAUAUAUAAAAUGGAUAAGGUGUGGAUAAAUUAAUGUAGCAUGCCUGUUUGUUUUGGUUGGAAGGAGUUUGCCAUAGUUACUGGACUAAAAUGUUAUCCUCCUCCUCCUUCUCAAGUUAGGGUUUCAUUAGGCCCAGUGUUUCCCUAUGGGGCUCUCCAGUCUUUUUUGUGCCAAACAAAGAUAGUUCCCUUAGAAUGUGUAUCGAAUACCAUCAGUUGAACAAAGUCACAAUUAAGAAUAAGUACCCAUUCCCCAGAAUUGAUGACUUGUUCGACCAACUUCAAGGUGUUAGUUACUUAUUUAAGAUAGACCUCGGAUAUGGCUAUCAUCAGCUCAUAUUCAGAGAAUGUGACAUUCCAAAAAUAGCUUUCAAAACUCGGUAUGGUCACUUCGAAUUUCUAGUCAUGUCUUUCGAUAUUACAAAUACCCCAGCAGCUUUUAUGGCUUGAUGAAUCAAAUGUUCAAAUAGUACUUGGAUAUGUUCAUCAUAGCCUUCAUAGAUGAUAUCUUUGUCUAUUCCCGUAAUGAAAAUGAUCAUUAAGACCAUCUCAUAAUUGUAUUGCAGACUGUUAGAGCCCACUAGUUGUUUGCCAAGCUCAGUAAGUGUGAAUUCUAGCUAAGAUCAGUAGCCUUCCUUGGCCAUAUUAUUUCUGAUGAUGGCAUUAAAGUUGACCCUCAAAAGACUAAAGUAGUGAGAAACUGGCCCAGACAUAUUUCUCCAUCAGAUAUCAGCAAUUUCUUGGGUUUGGCUGGAUACUACAGAUGGUUUGUUGAAUGGUUUUUAUCUAUUGCAUCCCCAUGUCUAGAUUGACUUGGAAAAAAGUUAAGUUUUAGUGGUCAAAUUCUGGUGAGAAGAGUUUUCACGAGUUGAAGGCUCGACUCACUUUAGCCCCAAUUUUGGCGCUACCUAAUGGUAUAUAUGGAUUUGUUGUUUAUUUUGAUACCUCUAGAGUUAGCCUAGGUUGUGUUUUGAUGCAGAGAGGUAAGGUCAUAGCUUAUGCCUCUAGAUAGCUUAAGCCUCAUAUAAAGAAUCAUCCCACCUAUGAUCUUGAGUUAGCAACUGUUGUUUUUACCUUGAAAAUUUGGAGGCAUUAUUUGUAUGGGGUGCAUGUUGAUGUGUUCACGGAUCACAAGUAUGUGUUUUUACAAGGAGAGUUAAAUCUUCAUCAGAGAAGGUGGUUUAAAUUAUUGAAAGAUUAUGAUAUGAGUGUUUUGUAUCAUCCGGUCAAGGCUAAUUUAGUAGCAGAUGCUCUUUAUAGAUUAUCCAUGGGUAUUGUGACUCAUAUUGAGGGUGAUAAGAAGAAGUUUGUUCAGAAAGUUUAUCAGUUGUCUAGAUCAGGCGUUCGUUUAGUUGACUCAGCUGAGGGUAGUGUAUGGGUUUAGAACAAUUCAGAAUCUUCUUUGGUUGCCGAAGUGAAAGAAAAGAAAGAUAGGGAUCACUGUCUAGUUAUAUUAGAAAGUAGAGGUUUUCUCCCAAGGGAGAGAUGUUGUGUUGCGUUGUUAGGGUAGAAUAUGUAUGCCAUGUGUAGAUGACCUGAGGCAGUAGAUUCUUAUAGAAGCACAUGGUGCGUGUUACUCUAUUCAUCCAGGGGUCACUAAGAUGUACAGCGAUUUGCGAGAAAUCUAUAGUGGAGUGGGAUAAAGAAGGAUGUUACAGAGUUUGUAGCUAAGUGCUCAAAUUAUCAGCAGGUCAAGGUUGAGCACCAAAAGCCUAGUGGUUCUAUACAGGAGUUCAGUAUUCCCACUUGGAAGUGGGAAGAGAUGAACAUGGAUUUUGGGAUAGAGCUUCCUCGUUCACGUCACCAGCAUGAUUCGAUUUGGGUUACUUUAGAUAGAAUGACCAAAUUAGCUUAUUUCUUACCGGUCCAUACCUCUUAUUCAGCCUAUGACUAUACCAACCUUAUAUUAGAGAGUUGGUUAGGUUGCAUGGGGCCCCAUUGUCCAUCAUUUCAGAUAAGGGUACUCAGUUUACCUCUCACUUUUGGAAAGCUUUUCAGAAAGGUCUUGGUACCCAAGUUUGUCUCAGCACAGCCAUUCACCCACAGAGAGAUGGACAGAUAGAGAGGACCAUUCAAACCUUAGGGACAUGUUAAGAGCUUGUGUUAUCGACUUUAAGGGAAUUCGGGAUGAUCACUUGCCAUUGAUUGAGUUUGCUUACAAUAACAUUUAUCAUUCCUAUAUUUAGAUGGUUCCAUUUGAGGCUCUUUAUGGAAGGAGGUGCAGAUCUCCUAUCGGUUGGUUUGAGGUAGGUGAGACCAUCUUGAUAGGUACAAAUUCAGUAUUUGAUGCAUUGGAGAAAGUUCAUCUAAUCAGAGAGAGGCUUAAGAUAGCCCAAAGCUGACUGAAAUCCUAUGCAGAUGUGAGGAGAAGAGAUCUUAAGUUUGAAGUUGGCAACUUAGUCUAUUUGAGAAUCUCUCCUGUGAAGGGAAUAUAUAGAUAUGGAUAUAAUGGGAAACUCAGUACCCGAUAUGUAGGCCCUUACAGGAUCUUGAGUCAUUUUAGAAAGGUAGCAUACAAGCUUGAGUUGCCUGCAGAGUUGGCAUCAGUCCGUCCGGUGUUCCAUGUGUCCUUGUUAAAGAAGUGUAUUGGUGAACCAACUUUGGUUGUUCCUGUAGAAAGUAUAGAUAUUCAGGGUAGUAUUUCUUAUGAAGAAAUUCUAGUUGAGAUCCUUGAUCGUCAGACUCAUAGACUGAGGAACAAUGAAGUUCCUUUGGUUAAAGUUCUUUGGCUGAAUUAGUCCGUUGAGGGAGCUACUUGGGAAUUAGAAGCAGACAUGCAUACCAAGUACCCUCACGUCUUCUCCACAAAUUUAGACUCAACUUAAGGUAAUGAUUUUUCUUAGAUUAUCUCUUUUCCAUUCUCAGUCCCAGCCAUGUGCUCAUCUUUAUGUUAUUCCAUGCAUUUACAAAUCAGUUCAGGCAGUCACCAUAUUUCAGACUCAAUCAUAUUUUCAUGCUUUUAGUUAUGAAUGCUCAGCAUGAAACCUCAGUACCUCUAUAUUUCUCAGCUUAAUCAGUCUCAUUUGAGGACAAAUGUUCCUAAGGGGGAUAUAUUGUAAUACCCCAUAAGAUCUUAGCUCGUUUAAGCUCACUCUUGCAUAUUAAGGGGUCAAAGACUUAGAAUAUUUCAUUGUGUUAAGACUUAGACAUUUUUAAAGCCCUUAAAUUUGAUGAAUUUAUUUUUUAUCUUCCCGAUAUCAAAAAGUUGAUUUUUUUUGUUGAUUCAUGAUCGGGGUAGUCCAUAAUACAUCUCGAGUGAAUUUUGGAAAUUUUAGACCAGUGUACGAAUAAGUUUGGACAUCUAAAAUAGAGGUAGUACACGAUUAUCCCGUAAUGCACCCUCCAUUUUACUCCUGGGGGAGCCCGCGAUAGAGCCUGCGGUGCGCCGUCCAGUCCAGUGGAAUAGAGCAUGCUGUGCGUCAUCCCGUCCGAUAAACUAAAGCCCGCAGCUCGUGCUCCAUCACGCCCCGUUUAAUUCCAGCUUUCAGUCAUAUUUUUCCAAGGGUAUUUAGGUCCUUUCCCCUCACCCAACUCAGCCAAAACAUAAGAUUUAGGUCCUAAAAUAACACUUUUGCAUCAUUUUACAUAAUUUCCCCCAAAUUGAAAUCAUCCUCUCUCAAGAACAAAACCUAGAUCUUCAAGUUUCAAGAUCAAUUCUCAAGAAAUUCACCAAGAACUUCCAAGAAUUCUUAGAUUAAGGUAUGUUAAAUGUUCAAACAUGGGUCCUUUUUCACCCAAGGAGUCCAAGAACCCAAAAUCAAGUUUUAAAGUAAUGAUUUUUACAUGUUACCAUGAAUUUUACCUAUGAAUUUUCAUGAAUCUCGAGUUUAUAUCAUGUUUCCAUGCAAUUUUUGUUGUUAUUAAACCCUACAUGUUUUAAAUGGUUUUUAUUCGUUGAUUUAAGCCUUAACUGGGGUAUUUAGUAUUGAAAUCAUGUUAUCUUUACAUGUUAAUACUAUUCUCUUGCUUAAACCAUGAACUGCAAAUGUUUGAUGAAACGACUAAAAGAGGAAUUUUGAGCAAUGACUACCCAUUGUGCUUUUAAAGUUUUUGUAUGCUUUUACUGUAAAUAUUAUCGAAUCUUGGAGGUUAUAAAUACCCGAAAAACUUAGUUGUUUACUUAGUUUUAGUAUUUUUCAUAAUGGUUUUGGAUAUAUUAUAGUAUUAUCAGUUCAAUUAGUAAAAAUCAUGUCAGUAAGUUCAGUUCAAUUCAGUCCAGUAAUUAGAGUCAGUUUAGUUGGGAGUAGGAUUUAGCACCAAGAGAACCUAGGGAUGGGGGCUCACCUGCCAGUUGAGGGAUGAACUUUACUAACAGUCCCUGUAUUUCAGAACUACUUAGACAGCAUAGGUUGAGAUGUUAACCUGUCAGUUGAGGGUUGACGCACAUCUCACUAGAGCACCUACUAAUAGAGGGUGACUCUUAGACCUUCGGGACAACACUUUAGUGGAUCCACACAACCAGUGUUAGUAAUCAUGGCACGAUAAUGACACCAUUCAACUGGGGUCGUGGGUUAGAUCCCAAUUAUCUCAUAUUGGGGCAUGUUGGUUAGAUGAUAUCUCCCACAGUCUUAGUCUUGUAUUCAGUUCAGAGGUCAGUUUUCAGGAUUGUUUGACCAGGGCAUACAAUUAUUAGUUGAGUAGUAUCAGUAUUUCAGUACUUCAUUUUAUAGAUUAAUCCAGUAUCAUGUUACAUGCUUGGUCAUGCAUUCUCAGAUUUUAUAGCUUUCUCAUAUACUAUACAUCAAUCAUCUCAUCCUAUUUAUUCAGUCAGUUAUAAUCUAUGCAUAUGAUCCAUGUAUAUCAGCCUAACCUUAUUUAGCAUACCAGUAUAUUUAAAGUACUGACUGCAUACUCAUUUCUUGCACUAUGAUGUCUCAUAUCAUAGGUCCAGAUGCUCAGGUUCCUAACCGCACUUAGACACUCCAGCGCAACAGCAGCAGUAGUAGUGGUGAGUCAUUAUAUUUCAGGGAUAGAUUAUGUUGAUUUUAGUAUCUCAGUUUUAGCAGUCAGUCAAAGUUAGUUGGUGACUUAUCCCAUAGACUCUUUAGUCAUUCAGUUCUUUUAGUCACUUUCAAGCAGUUAGACAGUUAUUAAUUGCUAUUAACAGCCCUUUUUAGUAUUGUUUCCAAACAGAUGUUUUCAGGCUUAUUAUCUCAGAAAUUGUUUUGAUAUUUUAAAACCAUAUGGCAUUUUCAGUUAAAUUCCGCACAUGUUUUUUAUUAUUUUAUCCAGUGCUCACAGAAGGUACCACCAUGGGUUAGCUUGUGGUCCUUUGAGGCUGUAAUCACCGUGUGACGCCCAGGGUGUACUCUUGAGGAGUUAUAGUUCUCUUUGUUGCCAUAUACACCGAGUAUUUGAGCAAUGAAUUACAAGUACCAAAUGAUGGACUUGAUGAUGGAUUACUCCGUAAAAGAUAUGCUACUCUUUUAUGUAAAUACGAAGAAUCGAAAGCUCAGAAACCGAAUGCAAGCGAUAUUAAAAAUCCACGGCGACCAAAGUUGAAUUCCAUUCCACCGAAUGAAGAACAACUUAUCCAUGUGGAGUAGAUCCUUAUAGCUUAAGUGUGUCAAAGUAAUAACCUCUCCUUAGGAAAUGUUACUACCAGAGGUUAAAUUGUUUAUUUAUUUGUUGUGUAGAUCAUCUAUACCCAUAAUAAUUUUUUUCAUUGUCUAUGAAUUAAAAUUAAUCCUUCAAUUUGAACUUAUUAAUUGAAAUGGAAUACUAGAUUCAAAUAUCACAACAGAUAAGGCAACUGUUGCAACAGAGAAUUCAUUUGUAACAACAGACGAAAUAUUUGUUGGAAAUUAUUAAAUAGAUUUAGACAUUUGUUGCAACAUGUAGGUCAUCUGUUGGAAAUUAUCAAACAGGUCUUCCUACAAUCUUUAUCUAUUCCAAUAGAUUACCUAUCACUUGUAAUAGAUAGACUAUAUGUUGCAACAUAUUGUAUAUCUGUUGCGACAGAUAGACUUAGAAACAUCUGCAUAAUGCAACAAAUGACCAACCUAUUACAACAUAUAAUCAAUCUUUCAGGAUAAAUAGACUAUAUGUUACAACAUAUAUACGUUCAACAUAUAUAGACUAUAUGUUCAACUUUCAUUAAACAUAAAAAAUUGUCAUUACAUGUAAAGUGAAGUAGCUUGAAAUAAAAAAUUGUUAUGGUGUUUGUGUUUCUACAUCUUCUUCUUUGUACACAGGCUUCAAGAAUCUAGUUAGUACCUCAUAAGCCCAAACCUGUUGCAUUUUUCCCAUAACGUCAUUACACAGAGUGAUCAUUUCUAUGUCAUUCAAUAAAUAUUUGAUGUAUGCAAGCAUAUACGACCCACACACGACACUGGUUUUAUUUUUUGGAAGGUACAUGUCCUUGUUUUGACUUUUAAAAUCCCAUGCUUUCUUUGUUAACACUUUCGCUGGCAAAUGAUCCAUCAGCUUACUCUGCCUCAACAAGUUGGGGAACAAUUCCAAUAAUGGUUGCAUGUGGAUAGAAAAAUAUCCAUCAUCGAAUACAGGUAAGCUGCAGUCAUAAACCUUAAUCUUUCUCUCCUUAAGUAGUAUCUCAAUAGCAAGAAAUAUUUGACGUCCAUUUUCAUGACUGCAAGAAUUCUCUCUGACUUGGUCCAACUCUUGCGGUGUGGAUAUGGCCUCUUCCCUCUAACAUAUUUAAUCAUAUCUUUAUCCCAUUGGAACCUAGAACUAACCAAUCAAAUCUCAGUCCAUCAAAAAUAUCGGCUUUCUUAUUAAGCUCAUGAUACCUAUCCUUGAAAUUAUUGUAGAAGUUGACGUCCAUUAUCCUAUCGGCAGCAUCAUAAGCAUCCGGGUAUGCUAAUUGCCUGUCACUCAUGAGGCAGAGAAUUUCAUCAACAUACUAUGAUAUUAGAAGACAAUGUUUGAAUAUUUUAGUAAUUGUAAAGAAUAAAAACAUAAUGGAAAGAUGCAACGGAUGGUCCACCAUUUGUAGAGGGUACUCUAAAUCUGUUCAUAGAUUACCCAGCCAACGCCAUGUAUGCAACAAAUGGGUAAUCUAUUGUAAUAGAACCACCAUCAGUUGUACCAUAAUACCCAUCUGUUACAACAUAUGACACAUAUAUUGUGUAGCUUCUUCUUUAUGAAGUAAAUUAGAAAGCUAGGUUACAAAAAGUUAACUUCCCUUGUCCACAUACCACUCUCUCCAUAUAAAGGUAUGCAUAGUGUAUUCUUGUUCAGGUUGCUUGGCAUUCAUGGUCCUUCGUAGUUCCUUCUUCUCUUUGGUGCCAAGUGUCGCAUAUAUGUCUACCUUCUUCAAUAGCCCCUGAACUUCAAUAAGUUUUGGAGAGGGAGGAGUUGCAUUUUUUUUUGGUUUUAGAUUAGACAGUAUUUGGCAAAUUAAUCUUUUCUUCCUCCUAACUGCCCUUGUUAGAGUGUAUGGCUCCCUCACCUUCUUGGAUGGUAUGAUACCCCUCUUCGAUUUCAAUUCCUCGGAAACUUCAGCGAUACCCUCUAAUUUUUCAAAGAUUUUAUCUUGUUUGUCCUUAAACUCUAUGAAUUUUCACUAAGAACAUGAGGGUGAAGAGGGUGAGAGGGACGACUAAGGGUGAGAGAGACCACUGCAAGAGUGAAAGGGACCACUGUAAAGGUAAGAGGGACUGGUGUAAGGGUGAAAGGGACCUAUGUAAGGGGUGCUUUCAAACAUAUUUAUUUUUUCUUGAGCAUCAACAAGCUCAUUAUCAUGACUGGCAGCAGCAUCAGCAUCAGUAUGGCUACCACUAAUAUCAGCAAUAUCCCAAGAAUAAGAACCCAGAUCUAUUGCAGUAGGUUGGUUAUAAAGAGCGUCAACAUUGCCUAACUUCUUUUCUUAUGGCUAUUAAUCUAGCCAAUUACCUCUUUAUUAACUCACUAUUAGGUCUGCUAUUGUAUCAAUAAUACCUAGAGUAAUAAAAGAAGUCAUCCCCUACUCCUACUCAGUAGGCACGAUCCAUGGAUGCACAACCUAUAAAAAAUGGAUACAUUUAAAUCAUAUAAUAAUUUGAAGUCGAUUAGGUUACAUGUUAAUACAGAUAACUUACAUAAUAGGUGAUCUAUUUGUAACAACAAAUUAACUAUAUGUUGUAUCAGAUUACCUGCCUAUUGUAUAAUUUAUAAUAGAUGGGUAAUUUGUUAAGUCAGGUUCAGAGAACCAAAGCAAUAUAUAGGAAAUAUGUUGCAAAAUAUGGAUUGUAUGUCGCAACAGAUUACCCAUCUGUUGCACCAGUUGCAGUAGAUGGGUAAUCUGUUGCAAUAGACGACCUAUCUAUUGCAACAGAUGGCACAUAUGUUUUAAUAUCUUUUUAAGUCAAAUUAUUUUACUUGAAAUACUAUGUUCUGCAUCAUCGGGAGGUUUAAAGAGAUCAGCCUCCUUAAUGCUUAUGUUGCUCUUGGCAACCAACCACCUAAGGAUCUUUGAAUGAGAAACCUCAUCCGAGUAAUCUUUAACCUACUUUUGGUGGGGAGGAAUGGCUUUAAAUGCCUAAUCAUAAAAUAUUGAAAUAGAAAGCAAGCAAAAAAAAGUCAUAAUAAUUAUUCAAUAUAGAUUAAUGGACGAAUACACAAAUAAUGAUUAAAUUUACCGUGAAAGCCUAAGGAAAGUUGUAUAAUGUGAUUGUCUUUGGGGAUGCUUUAUCAGUAAAUAUUUGACAGUCAAGUUGUAGUUGUCAUAUCCCCAGGGAUAAUUGUUGAAUUUCUCAAAAUUGUCAACAAGCUUCAACAAAUCAUCUUUUAUGACUUUGUUAACGUCUCUUGCCAAUAUAACGGAAUGGGCAAAUCAAACUAAGCAUAAUUUCUCCCUGAACUACUUUGGUAUGGUUUUAUCCUUUAGAUAUUCUAUCAAAUUAUUGUUUUUGUACCUAAGUCCAGUAAUGUCCAACAACCCAUCUAUUUUUUCUUUGUGUUUGUUGGUUUUAGUGAGUGGUCAUUGCGACAAUGCCUUCCCUUUAUUUAAUGGUGGUGGUUUGGAUGUCCUUCUUGCCUUGGAACUUUUAUAGGGUGUUUCCUUAAUGAGAGGUUCUUCUGGAUGAUCAGAUCUCAAGCCUGUCACUAUGGCAAACUCUUUCAAUCCAAAACAAACCGACAUGCCACAGUAGUUGGUCCAGAUUUCAUCCAUCUUUUUGACCCCUUCUUCAAAUAUUUAUCAUCCCCUGCGUAAUUGAUCCUACGCUUGAGAAGACCAUAUACCAUGCUUAUUUGAAAAUAGGCAGUGUGGUGCUCAGGAAACUCAAUAAAGCAUCCAAAGCAGCUCUCUUAAAAAGUUCGUCUAUGUUUUCAUUCUUCAUAAUGUUUCUAAAUUCAUCAAAAGGUUUUUCCAAAUGAUAUUUAAGUACGACAUCACCAGUUAGUUCUGUAGGGUCAUCUAUCGGUAUCGCAACUUGAAACCUAUCAAUACUAAUAGUUUUGACAGGAUCAUGCUGGGAUUUUGAUCUUAAUUCAUGGAUCAUUGGUAAUGUAUUAUCAUCAUGUUGAUCAUCAUCCUCUUUCUCACUUUCUAAUUCUUCCUCUUCUUGUUUAUCAUAAUGUUGAUCAAUAUCCUCUUUCUCACUUUCUACUUCUUUCUCUUCAUGUUUAUCUUCUUCUUCCUCCUCACUUUUAUAUUCCUUACCAGCCUCUAUAUACCCUUUUUUAUCUCCUUUUUCUUAACUUUCCUCAGUUUCAUUUUUCCCUAAUCGAGAUUGUUCAGGAAGCUCCUCCAAAUCCAUCCAUACUCAAGCCUUUUUUGUUAGGUGGUCAGAAGUUAAUCAACUUUUAGUUUUUUUUUCUUUUGGAAGACAUCUUUUAAAUACAAACUAUACAAAAACAAAAAAAACAUCAGUUGGACCAUAAAUUUUAAUAAAUUAUUAUACUCCACAUUACAAAAAAAUAUUUCAAAACCCAUUAGUUGGAAUAGAUGGGGAACCUGUUUGAAGACCUAUUUAAUAUCUCCAGUAGAUAUUCCACCUAUUGCAACAGAUGGACAACAAAGACCACCACCAAUGCCACCAAGACCACCAAUAAUUCCACCAAGAUCACCAACAACAACAAUACUAAGACCACCAACACGAACACCAAUGCCACCAAUACCCGCACUAAGACCACCAAGACUGCCAACACCACCACCAAUGCCACCAAUACCAACACAAAACCACUGACACCACCAGUAAGACCAGCAAUACCGACACUACCAACAAUAUCCACCAACAACACCACAAACACUAUCCAACACUAUGAUAAAAAAAACUAAGGUUUCCUUUGGUUCUUCCUAUAUUAUUAGCAUCAAAACUCAAAAUUAUUAAUCCAUUCUCAAAGGUACUAUAACUGAAAGUGUUUUUAUUCAUCAUUAACUAAUAAACCCUAAUUUUUAGAACAAAGAACAAAUGUAGAACUAUUCUCAAACUUAAUUACCUGUGAAGACAGAGAAAAUGAUGGAUACAAGUAAGAAUAAAGUUGAAAAUAGCAACUAUAUGGUUGGAAAUGGGAAGAAAAAGGAUUUGUUUUGAAGGGUUGAGCAAUAUGUUGAGUAGUUGUUGUCUGUAUUGUUAAGAGAGAAAGAAAAGAGCGAGAACUCGAUAUUUGAAAUGAUAAAAUAUUUUUCCCACAACUGGAUAAUUUGUAUGGGUUGAUUUGUAUUUUUGGAAAAGAAUGACAAGUUUUGAAAUUGUUAAUUUGGUCUGAUUAAUCUUAAUUAUUUUAUAAAAUUUUAUAAAAUAUAAUUUUAAUGGUCUCAUCAUAAUAAUGGGUAAGUUCAACUAGAACACUAUUCAAUUUAGGUAUUAGCUUAACAAUAACUUAAUAUAAGUCAUUUCAACUCAGAGUGAUUGAACGGCGACUCGGGUUAGGAGAAACAUAAUACCAACAUCAUGCAAUUACAAAGACUCAAUUUAUGUUGUAGUUGACCCUAUGUACUCAUCCCUAGUUAUAUCUAAAUAAAUUUUAGUAUUAGUUUAACAAUAAGUUAAUAUGAACCAUUUCAAUUUAUAUUGAUCGAAUGAUGACUCGAGUCAGAAGGAACGCAAUACCAACAUCAUGCAAUUAUAAAGACUCAAUUGAAGUUGCAGUUGACCCUAGGUACUAAUCCUAGUUCUAGCUAAAUUAAUUUAGGUAUUAUCUUACCAUUAAGUUACUAUGAAUUAUUUCAACUCACAGAGAUUGAUCGAUAACUCGAGUCUGGAGAAACGUAAUACCAACAUCAUGUAAUUGCAAAGACUCAAUUGAAGUUGUAGUUAACCCUAUGUACUCAUCCCUAGUUCUAGCUAAAUAAAUUAUCUUAACAUUAAGUUAAUAUGAAUUGUUUUAACUCAAAGUGAUCUAUCGAUGACUCGAGUUGAGAGAAACGCAAUACCAACAUCAUGCAAUUGCAAAGACUCAAUUAAAGUUGUAGUUGACCCUAUGUACUCAUCCCUAGUUCUAGAUAAAUAAAUUUAGGUCUUAGCUUAACAAUAAGUUAAUAUGAAUCAUUUCAACUCAGAAUGAUCGAUCGACGACUCAGGUCGAGAGGAAUGCAAUACCAACAUCAUGCAAUUGCAAAGACUCAAUUAAAGUUGUAGUUGAUCCUAUAUACUCAUCCCUAGUUCUAGCUAAAUUAAUUUAGGUAUUAUAUUAAAAUUAAGUUAAUAUGAAUCAUCUUAACUCAGAGUGAUCGAUCAACGACUCAGGUUAGGAGGAAUGCAAUACCAACAUUAUGUAAUUGCAAAGACUUGAUUAAAGUUAUAGUUUGUAAUGCCCCAAAUGUGGUACUCAAAAUGCUACACGGUACUCAUGACCCCAAAGGACCACAAGCGAACCCAUGACUGAUAUCUGUAUCGGAAAACUGCAUAAUAUACUGUAUAAAUGCAAAAAUAAAGGCUGAAAAGCCAUAAGGUUCAAAACUGUAACAUAAUUGGUAAAACAUAACAUAUAGAUGGGGUAUGAAAUACCUAAAACAACUAACAUAAAUGGCCUGAACAUAUUGUAGUCUGAAAAGCCUCUAACUGACUGAACUAUCUAAAUAAGAAGCUGAUGGGACAUGUCUCCCAACUUGCUCCAACUAAUGAAAUAAAUUAAUUAAUGAGAUAAUAAAGUAAUGAUCAUGUCCUGAAAGGAUGAGGACUCACAGCUAACUCUAACUGUUGAGACUAUAAUUCUACUGAUGCUUUGGAGCUCGUGCUUCUAAACCUAUGGUAUAAAACACCAUAGCGCAAAUACGUCAGUACGAUUAAAUGUACUGGUAUGCAUGUGAGGUAGGAUGAAUGUAGAGGGUUCACAUGUAUAAACUAUACUAACUGACUGGAUAACAUGAAUGUAAGAAUGCAUUCAUGAAUACAUUAUAACUGUAACUGAGUUUAUGAUAGCAUGACGACUGAGCCUGAGUACUGAUAACAUAAGACACUGAUAACUAUAUAACUAAAAUAACUCAUACUGAGCAACUGUAUCUGACAGUCUAGGUUCUGAUGGAACUAGCGGAGUUCCAUACUGUUCUGAGUUGACUAUAUCGACAGUCUUGAAUUUUGUAGAACUAUCUAAGUUCUAUUACUGAGACUGAAUGACUGUAUCUGAUUAUCUUAAUUCUAUAACUGAAAUUGUGGGAAGUAGUCAUCUAAGCGACAUACCCCUAAUACGCUAUUAUAGUUGAGUUGGGGUUCAAUCUAUAACCCCAAUUAGAAAGGUGUCAAUACCGCGCUACAGGUAAGGAUAAGCUAUGGGUGACCCUCAUCUGACAGUGUCCCCAAAAGAGAAUGGUGGGAACCUUAUCUAACAGUGUUUAUCCACCUCAUCAACCUUCAUUUGACAGUGUUGUUGUCUCAACCUAUGUUGGAUACAUAGUUCUAGAAUGCAAGGAUUGCUUGUAAGAAUCACACCCUCAUCUGACAGUGUGUGUUCCCAUCCUUAGGUUCACUCGGUACUAAUUCCUACUCCUAUCUGAAUAGAUACUGAACAUGGAUUUUUGAACUGCACUGGACUGCAUUAACUAAGUUUCGUUGAUAAACGGAAUAGUGCUGAGAUUACUGUAUUACUAAGCUUUCCUGAGUCACAUGACUGACUGAGUUCUAUGGAUCAUGGAUUGACUGAAGAUAUCAUGAAAACAUGACACUCACUCUCUAGGCACACAGCUAUACUUUUUGGGUACAAGUACCCCUAGGACUCAAUGGGAAUAAACUAAUAAAGUAUGACUUUCUUGAAUACAUAACCACAUCAGCAAUCCAUAAUAUAAUAAGUUGGAGAAUUCAUAAAGUACAAGUUCUAAAGCACCACAAUGGCCACACAUAAUCUAUAAUUCAUUAACUAAGACAUUUCAUCAAACACUUGACAUGCAUGAACUUGUACAUGAAUGGGGAUUUUAUAUUAUUAUACUAGUAUGGCACUUUUCCUUCACAUAGGCAUUUAAUCAAACACGUGGACAGCAUUCUUUGGUUAUACAAUCAUCAACACAUCUAAUAAUCAUGGAUACAUCAAUUGGUAAAUUGAAGGGUUUUAUCAUGGUUAUUAUGCAAAUAUUCAUAUACUAGGGUAAAUCAUUGGAAUAUGUAAUUUAAAACAUGAAUCAAAACCCCACAACAUCAUGAACAUGAAUUUUAAUUCUAUUUAAAUCAUCAACAUUCAUAAAUACACAAAUCUUGUAUUUGGAAAAGAGAUUCUUGAUCUUCAUGGGUGAAAGGGACCCAUAAGUCAACACAUGACAUACCUGGGCUGUGUGUUUAUUGAAGCUCUUGGACUUGAAGAACUAGAAUUUCUUAGUUUCUUGAAGAAGGAUUUGGAUCUUGUUCUUCGGGAUUAUCUUUGAGAGAAAAUCCUAAUUUGAUGUUGUAGAUGGAUAAUAAACUUAUGAGCCUUGAUCUGAUAUAAUUAGAGGUUAAAAUGGGUCAAAAAGACCCAAAUAUCCUUUUAAAAAUGACUUUAAAAUAAAUAAAUGAACUAUGCGAUGGUUCAUCACUAGAUUAAUAGUCCAUCGAUCCUGACCAUCGCACUUGGGCAGAAUAGGGGUUCUCUGCCUCUGCUGCGACAGCUUGGGCGACGGUUCGUUGCUAGCUUGAUGGUCCAUUGGCCUGAGUCAUCAUCCUUAGGCAAAAGGUGGUCUCAUUUCCUCCGCUGUGAUGAUUUGGGCGACGGUCUGUCGCUAGCUCAACGGUACGUCGGCCCUCAUUGUCGCACCUGGGCAGUUUUGACUAUUUUUUGUAAAAUGGCCAUAACUUUCUACCUCGCUACCAGAUUUUGACAAAAUUGGUAUUGAUGGAAAGCUAAUUCAAUUUCCCAUAUGACAAAAAUUAAAAAUCUUAAAAAUUAUAUGUAUAUAAAAGUGGAUACAUAUUUCAAAGUAAUUUUCUAACAUACUUGGGAUGAUUUCAAGCUAGGUAGAAGUACGGGGUAUUACAUAGUUGACCCUAUGUACUCAUCCCUAGUUCUAGCUAAAUCAAUUUAGGUAUUAUCUUAACAAUAAGUUAAUAUGAAUUAUUUCAACUCAGAGUGAUCAAUCGAUGACUCGAGUCAGGAAGAGCGCAAUACCAACAUCAUGCAAUUGUAAAAACUCAACUAAAGUUGUUGUUGACCGUAUGUACUCAUCCCUAGUUCUUGAUAAAUCAAUUUAGGUAUUAGAUUAUGUAACACCCCAAGUCUAUACCCCGGACGCUACCCGAUGCUCAUAAUCUUAAAGGACCAUAAGCUAACCCAUGACUGGUACUUACUGUGUAACUGACUAAUAAAAAUAUUGAAAUAUGCAAAAAUUAGGUAGAAAACUGGCCAUAAGGUUCAAUACUAGAAAUAAUACUGAAAUACUAAAAAGAAACCAUAUCCUCAAACUAUGAGGACUCACCACUACGCUGACUGCUGAAAAUCUAAAUUGCUAAGGGUGAUCUGGAGCCCAUGCGUUUGAACCUAUGAUAUAUGACAUCAUAGUGCAAAAGAAAAGCAUGCAUCGGUACUUUGACUGUAUUGUUAUUCUCAGUAAGGUAGGCUGAAAUGCAUGGGUUCAUAUGCAUGAACAAUACUAAUUGAAUAACAUGAGUAUGACUAAACGAGAGUACAUGCAUGAAUACGUAUACUAUAACUGAGAUCGUGAUAGUACUAAAUACUGAAUCUAAAUACUAAUUAACUGAUGUCUAAGUUUAUUGAUACUAUAUUACUAAUAACCGAAUGACUGUAUCUGACAGCCCUGAUUUUAUAGAACUAUACUAAGUUCCGUACUGAGCUGAGUGACAAUACUUGAUAGUCCUGAAUCUGUAGAACUAAACUAAGUUCUAUUCUGAGUCUGAGAUUGAAAUUGAGACUGUGGGAAGUAACCAUCUAACCAAUAUAACCCUCUCUAAAUUGAUUGGGGUCUAACCUAUAACCCCAAUUUGAAAGGUAUCAAUACCAUGCCAUGGGUAGUGAUAAGCUGUGAGUUAACCCUCUCUGAUAGAAAGCUCUUCCAUUAACCCUCGCUGGUAGGAAAACUCAAAUGAGAUGUAUCAACCCUCAUAGUAUCUGGCAGGAAGAUAUCUCAACCUAUACUGGCUACAUAGUUCUGUAAUACCGUGCUUGCUACUAAGGGUCAAACCCUCUGUUGACGGGAAUGCCCCUAUCCCUGGGUUCGCUCGGUGCUGAAUCCUACUCCCAACUAAAUGGACACUGAACUGAUUUCUAGUUUGUACUAGACUAGACUGAAUUGUUACCGAUAUUACUAUUUGACUGAACUGAACUGAGUUCCAUGGACUAACAGAAUACUACUGAAUUCAGUUAACUAACCGAGUCUACUAAGUUCUGAUCUGAGUACUAUGACUGAAUUACGAACACUACUGAGAUUUCUUGGGUUUCUAUAACUGUCUAAGUUCUACUGAUAGAGUCACUACUGAGAUUACUUCGUAACUAACACUGGCUCUAAGUAAACAGCUAAAUUAUCAGGUAUGAAAUACCCUCAAUAUUGAUAACAUGAAAAUAGAUCAUCGCAUAAUCCUGCUUAGGAUAAACAUGCACAUUGAAUUCAUAAUACAUCUAUAGUGACAUCUUAUCAAACUCUUGCAUGGUAUAACUUGCAAAUAAGCUAGUAUGACAUGAUUUCUUUCUCUUAUUUGCUUACAUGAACAAUUCAUCAAGCACUUGGUGAGCAUACAUAUGCACAUAAUACUAAACAACAAGUAGACAUCAUAAUUUAAAUCCCCAUUGACAGUUUCAAGGGUUUUACAUAGAUCCUCAUGAUAUUACUUAUAUAUCAAUUAACCUCACAUAAAACAUAUUAUAAAACAUAAAUUAGAAUCCUAAUUAAUUAUUAUAAACAUGAACAUAAUCAAACCCAGCAUGGAAUUCAUAAAAUCCAUAAACUUAAAGUAGCAAAAUAGUUUCUUGGACUCCAAGGGUGGAAGGGACCUUUGGAUGAACACUUAACAUACCUUAGUUGAUGAAUUUCUGAAAGUUAAUGGUGAGUUCUUCAGUUCUUGAUUUGAAAUUUGAACACCUAGGGUUCUUGUUCUUGGGAAAUUUGUGAAUGAAUAUAAUUGCUCUCCAAAGGGUUUAAUUUCGUGUUUUGGGGCUAAAGGAUGUGGGAAAAAAACCUAAUUAACCCUGAGGACGCGGCUUUUUAAUGCCUACAAACUGUGUUACCGACGCACAAUCCGUUGCGUCGUUAGCAUCGACAUGAUAGUCAAUGCGCCACAUCAAGUCGAUGUCAGUUCACUAGAAUUUACACUGAAGCUAGGGAAAAACUAUCUUAUCAAUACGAUGGUUGACGCGACAUAUCAAGAUCCCGUCAACUCACUAUUUUGGGCACUCAAAAUGGUCUAAAUGAGGUCCAAAAAAUCUGAAACUUGUCCAAAAAGCUCUAGUGACAUUCCUGAUCAUGAAUUAACUCAAAUAUCAACAUUUAAAGGAUGUAAAGGUCAUGAAAUAAGAUUUCCAACUUUUUAAGGCUAAAAUGAUACUAAGUCUGAAUGCUUAGUUAAUAUGUUCUAAGUCUGGAACCCCUAACAAGCUUAAAAGAUUAAAUUAAGCUAAGAAUUUUGUAGGAUCUUAUAGCUUAACAUUAAGUUAAUAUGAAUUGUUUCAACUCAGAGUAAUCGAUCGGUGACUCGUGUUAGGAGAAACUCAAUACCAGCAUCAUGCAAUUGCAAAGACUCAAUUGAAGUUAUAGUUGACCCUAUGUACUCAUCCCUAGUUCUAGCUAAAUCAAUUUAGCUAUUAUUUUAAAAAUAAGUUAAUAUGAAUUGUUUUAAAUUAGAGUGAUCGAUCCACAACUCAGGUCAUGAAGAACACAAUACCAAUAUCAUGUAAUUGCAAAGACUCAAUUGACGUUGUAGUUGACCCUAUGUAUUCAUCCCUAGUUCUAGAUAAAUUAAUUUAGGUAUUAGCUUAACAUUAAGUUAUGAUGAAUCAUUUCAACUUAGAGUGAUCGAUCAAUGACUCAUGUCGAAAGGAAUACAAUACCAACAUAAUGUAAUUGCAAGACUCAAUUGAAGUUAUAGUUGACCUAAUAUACUCAUCCCUAGUUCUAGCUAAAUCAAUUGGAAAGAAAUCUGUUGCAAAAUAUGACUAAGCUGUUGGAUAUUUUCAAAUAGAUAUUGAGAUCUGUUGCAACAGAUUAUCUAUCUGAUUUAAUUAUCAAAUAGACAUUUGCAUCUGUUGUAACAGAUGGCUGACCUAUUGAAAAUUUUCAGAUAGAUAUUGAUAUCUGUUUCAACAAAUAACAUAUCAUAUUUAAUUAUCAAAUAGACAUUUGCAUCUGUUGUGAUAAAUGACUGGGCUGUUGAAAAUUUUCAAAUAGAUAUUGAUAUUUGUUACAAUAUAUGACAUAUAUGUUUGAAAAUAUUUUUUAAAUUUUAAAGCGCACUUCUGUCCGAGAGAAGAAAGAUAAAAUAGUACUACUAAAGCGGUAAAAAAUAUUUCUUGGGUAACUCAAAAAUCUCCUCUUUGAGUAGCCUUAUCUUGUCUUUUCAAUGUCACCCAUCUUCCUCGUGCCCCUCAAGUUAUUAUGAAUAUUUUUCCUUUGCAUCCUUCAAGCCGGCCUCGAAAAAAAAAGAAGCAAUCCAAGAGAAAAAAUUGAGUUUGGAGGCCAGCUUGAAGGAUCCAAAGAAAAAAAGAAGAAGCAAUUCAAGAGCAAAAAUUGAGUUUUUCCAAGAAGUAUUUUGAAAAAAUCUAAUGCUCUCAAUGAAAUUGAAUAAACAUAUGACUAGCAAGUUGCAGAAGAUGCCAAAGCUGAUGGAAAAGCAAACUGAUAUAUUCAUCUGUUGCAAUAAAUUGUCAAUAUGUUGUAAGUUAACUGAUAUAUUCAUCUCCCAACAGAUGACUUUUUUCGCAUCUUGUAAUAAAAAUUCUCAGUUGAUUUAUUCAACAAUUUUCCUUCAAAUUUUUAAAAUAAAUAUGAUAUGGGUAAAUGGUAAUUAAAUAAAAAAAUAUGUAAAUAACUUGCAAAGAAGAAGACGAGAAUAAAAGAGCAAUAGUGAACCAUACCUUAAUGUCAAAAGAGGAUCAAAACAGCAAUUUCAGUCGAGGAAUCUAACAUAUGGAUCGAUUUAGAUUCGAAAGGAUCUUUAUGAGAGAAAAAAGGUUAUGAUAACCCUAAAGAGGAUAGAAAGAAAAGGAUGAGAGACGAAUAAAAUAAAUUUAGGUCUGAAGAAGAGAUGAGAUAAUUCUAAUUUCUAGAUGUACUACCUUUAAUAUUAAAUGACUAAACAAAGUGUAUUUAUUCAAAUUUAUAUUUUCAAAGCAUAAUUAAUAAGGCUAAUUUGGUAAAAUAAACCCCUAAUUAAUAUUUUCUUAAAGGGUAUGCCAAGUCAACAGGGUCCAACUACUAUGAAACGGAGGAAGUAUAAGUAUUAGGGGUUUCAAUAGUCAUUAAUUAAUAUUCAUUAAUAAUUUGAGGGGCACGAGGAAGAAAAUGGGUGACAUUAAAAAGAAAAGAUAAGACUACUCAAUGAGAUUUUUGAGUUAUCCAAGAAAUAUUUUUUACCGCCUUUAGUAGAAAAAAAAUUUUUCAAACAGAUAUGCCGUCUGUUGCAAUAGAUACAAAUAUAUAUUUGAAAAAUCCCAACAUCUCAGUCAUCUGUGACAACAGAUACAAAUGUCCAUUUGAUAACUAAAUUAGAUAUGUCAUCUGUUACAAUAGAUAUCAAUAUCUGUUUGGAAAUUUCGGACACCUCAGUCAUCUGUCACAACAAAUGUAAAUGUCUAUUUGAUAAUUAAAUCUAAUAUGUCAUUUGUUUCAACAGAUAUGACUAUCUAUUUGAAAAUUUUCCACAGCUCAGUCAUCUGUCAUAAAAGAUUCAAAUGUCCAUUUGAUAAUUAAAUCAGAUAUGUCAUCUAUUGCAAUAGAUAUGAUUAUCUGUUUGAAAUUCUCCAAUAGCUCAGUUAUUUAUUGCAACAAAUUUUAUUACAAUUGAUUUAGGUAGAACUAGGGAUGAAUGAAUGAGCUCACAGGGUCAAUAACAACUUCAAUUGAGUUGUUAGAUUUGCAUGGUAUUAGUAUUACGUUCAUCCCGACCCGAGUCAUCAAUCGAUCACUCUGAAUUGAAAUGAGUUCUUAUUAACUUAAUGUUAAAAUUAAUAAUAGUACCUACAUUUAUCUAAGUGGAACUAGGGAUGAAUGAAUGAGCUCACAAGGUCAACAACAACUUUAAUUGAGUUGUUGCAUUUGCAUGGUAUUGGUAUUGUGUUCGUCCCGACCCAAGUCAUCGAUCAAUCACUCUAAGUUGAAAUGAGUUCUUAUCAACAUAAUGUUAAGAUUAAUAAUAGUACCUACAUUGAUCUAGGUGGAACUAGGGAUGAAUGAAUGAGCUUACAGGGUCAACAACAACUUCAAUUGAGCUGUUGCAUUUACAUGGUGUUGGUAUUGUGUUCAUCCCGACCUGAGUCAUCGAUAGAUCACUCUAAGUUGUAAUGAGUUCUCAUCAACUUAAUGUUAAGAUUAAUAAUAGUACCUACAUUGAUCUAGGUGGAACUAGGGAUGAAUGAAUGAGCUCACAGGGUAAACAACAACUCCAAUUAAGUUGUUACAUUUGCAUGGUGUUGGUAUUACGUUCAUCCCGACUCGAGUCAUCGAUCGAACACUCUGAGUUAAAAUGAGUUCUCAUCAACUUAAUAUUUUAAAAACUAUAUCUUUUGAAAUUUUAAAAAUUAAUUAAGAUCAAUUCGGACCAAAUUAAUAAUUUCAAAACUUGUCAUUCUUUUCCAAAAUUACAAAUCAACCUAUACAAAAGAUCCAUUUGCGGGAAAAAAAUUUCCUUAUUUCAAAUCUCAAGUUCUUGCUCCUCUCUCUCUCUUUCUUAAAAUACAGACAACAGCUACUCAACAUAUUGCUCAACCUUUCAAAACAGAUCAAUUUUCUUCCCAUUUACGACCACAAAGUUAUUAUUUUCGACUUCAUUCUCGCUUGUAUCUAUUUUUUCUCUAUCUUCGCAAGUAACAGACUUCGAGAAGAGCUCUACAUUUGUUCUUUAUUCUAAAAAUUAGGGUUUUUUAGUUAAUGAUGAAAAAGAAGACUUUUAGUUACAUUAUCUUUGAGAAUGGGUUAACAAUUUUGUGUUUUGAUGCUAAAAAAGUAGGAAGCACCUGAGAAAAUCCUAGUUUUUAUUUCAGUCUUUUGUUGACUGUACUGGUAUUGUUGGAUGGUGUUUGUGGUAUUGUUGGUGGUUGUUGGUGGUGGUGUCGGUAUUUGUGUUUUUGAUGGUGGUGUCGGUGGUCUAGGUGUUGGUAUUGGUGGAAUUGGUGGUGGUCUUGGUGGCAUUAGUGGUGGUGAUGGUUGUGGUGGUGGUGGUCCAUCUAUUUCAAUAGGUGGAAGAUCUGUUGGGAGAUAUUAAAUAGGUCUUUAAACAGAUUCCCCAUCUGUUCCAACUGAUGGGUUAUCCGUUGGAGUAUUUUUUUGUAAUGUGGCUUAGAAUAAUUUAUUGAAAUUUGUAUUACUGUUUAAAAAAAAUUAUACAGACAUCAAAUGAAGUGUAUUUUUUAUUUUUCUAUUAUAUGUAAUUAAAAUAUGUCUCCCAAAAAAAGAAAAAUGAAAGUGGAGAAAGUGAAUCAACUUCUUCUCACCAAACAAAAAAGGUUAGAGUACAAAUAAAUUUAGAGGAACUUCUAGAACAAUCUCAGUCAGGAAAAAAUUAAGCCGAGGAAAGUGAUAACUCCUCCUUACCAAUAAGGCAUGAAAUAAUAUCGAAAUCCUAGCAUGAUUCUGUCAAAACCAAUAGUAUUAACAAGUUUCGAGUUGUGAUGACGAUGAAUAGCCCUGACAUAGUAUUUGGUGAUCUUAUACUUAAAUGUCAAUUGGAGAAACCUUUUUACUAACUUAGGAGUAUUAUGAAGAAUGAAAACAUAGAUGGACUUUUUAAGAAGAGUUGUUUUGCAUACUUUCUUGAGCUGUCUAAGGAACGCACCCUUCAUUUCCCAAUGAGCAUGGUAUAUGUCCUUCUCAAGUGCAAGAUCGAGUAUGCGGGUAGGAAGGGCAGAUAAAAGAUGGAUGAAGUAUGGAUCAACUACUGUGGCAUGUAGAAUUGUUUUGGAUUGAAAGAGUUUGCCAUCAUGACCGACCUGAGAUGCAAUAGUCCAGAAGAACCUCUCAUCAAGGAAACACCCCACAAAGGUUUCAACAAAUGCAAAGUUAAAAAAAAUUGGGUAAACUACAGGGAGAAAUUGUGCUUAUUUUGGUUUGUCCAUUCCAUUUUAUUGGCAAGAGACGUCAAGAAAGUCAUAGAACAUGAUCUAUUGGAGCUUGCUGAUGAUUUUAGGAAAUUCAACGAUUAUCCCUGGGGAUAUGACGGCUACUACUUGACUGUCAAAUAUUUACUUACAAAGUUAUCCACAAAUACGAACAUAUUAUGCGGCUUUCCCUGGGAUUUCAUGGUAAAAUUGAUCACUAUUUUUACUCAUCCAUUAAUUUAUAAUGAAUAUACUUAUUAUGACUCUUUUUUGCUUUCUUUCUAUUUAUAUUUUUUUGGCUUGGGCAUGUGAAGUCAUUCCUUCCCUCCGAAAGUAGUUCAGGGUUUACCCGGAUUAGGUUUCUUAUCUAAGGAUCCUUAGGUGGUUGACAGCUGCAAAGGGAGGCAAAAAAAUAUUAAGGAGUAGAAGGCUGAUCUCUUUAACCCUCUGGAUGAUGUUGUAUGUCUUCUAUCAACUAAAAUAAUUUAGCUUAAAUAAAGAUAUUGAAACAGAUGUUCCAUCUGUUGCGACAGAUGGGCCGUUUGUUACAACAGAUUCCUCGUCAACUAUAACUGGUGCAAUAGAUGGUAAUCUAUUAAAAUAGACGAUCUAUAUUUCACAACAGAUUAACCAUUUGUUGCUAUGGUUCUUUGAACCCGAAUCAAUAGAUUACCCAUCUGAUGCAAAUUAUGCAACAGAUGUGUAAUCUGAUGCAACAUAUUGUCAAUCUAUUACAACAUACAGAUCAGCUGUUACGGUAGCUAGAUCGUCUAUUGCAUAAGUUGGCAUCCAUGUAACCCAACUGACUACAAAUUAUUAUUAUAUGAUUUAAAUACCUCCUGUCUUUUUUAUAGGUUGUGCAUCCUUGGAUCGUGCCUACCAUUAAUGAGUUGGGGAUGACGUCUUUUCUUACUCUGGGUCUUGUUGAUACAAAAUAAAACCCAAUAAUGGAGCUAAUAAAGAAGGAAUUGGAUGGAUCAACAUCCAUAAAAAGAGCAGUUAGGCAAGGUCAGCCUAAUGUUGAAGCUCUUGACGACCAACCUCAAACUGCAAUAGAUCCGUGUGCUUUUUCUGGGGGUCUUGAUGGUGGAGUUAUUUGUGAUAGUGGAAACCAUCCUGAAGCUACUGCCAGUCAUGAUUAUGAGCAUGUUGGUGAGCAGCAAAAAAUAAAUACUUUUCAAAACACCCCUUGCACAGGUCCUCCCUCUCACCCCUAUACCGAUCCCUCCUAUCCUUACAGUGGUCCCUCUUACCCCUCCUCACCCUUAUAUUCUCAUUGUAAAUGCAAAGUGUACAAUGACAGAGAGGAUAAAGUCCUUAAAAAGCUAGAGGCUAUUGCUGAAGCUACCGAGGAUUUGAAAUCCAGGAGGGGUGUCAUACCAUCCAACGAGGUAAGGGAGCCAUUCACUCCUACAGUGGCGGUUAGGAGGAAGAGAAGAAAUAUUAGACAAAUUCUCUUCGUUCUGAAAUUAGCAAAAAUUGUAACUCUUCUCGCUCCAAGAGUUAUUGAAGUUCAGGGCCACCGAAGAAAGUGGACAUAUUCGCGGAGCUUGGCAAGGAGAAUGGGGAGGAACUACAAGAAAUCAUUAAUGGCAAGACGAAUGUUCAAAAAAAAUACACCAUGCAUUCAUUUUUCGUUGAAGACUUCAUAAAUAUGACAAAUAUGCAUGUGUGGUAUGAGGACAAUGUAAGUUUACAUUUGGUAACCUAUCCUUCCAAUUUACUCCAUGAAUAAGAAUCUACAUAGCAGAUGUGUAAUCUGUUGCAACAACUUGAUAUUUUAUUGCAACAUAAUGCACAUUUGUUGCAUAAGUUACGUUAGUUGGGUAAUCUGUGAACUGAUUCAGAGAACCCUCUACAUAGGAUUCUUUCCACUAUGUUUUUAUUCUUUACAAUUACCAAACUAUUUAAAAAUUAUCUUUUUAUACCACAGUCUAUUGAUGAAAUUCUCUGCCUCAUGAGGGGCAGGCAAUUAGCAUACCUGGAUGCUUAUGAUGCUGCCGAUAGAAUAAUAGAGCUCAACUUCUACAAUAAUUUCAAGGAUAGGUACGCUUCUCUCUGUGAGCUAGUUGGUACCGGUGGCUCGGGUUUUGAUGAGAUAGUUUUUACAUUCUAAUGGGAUGAAGAAGUGACUAAAUAUGUUAGAGAGAAGAGUCCACAUCCACACGGUAAGAACUAUACCAAGGCAAAGAGAAUCCAUACAGUCAUAAACAUAAAAGUCAAAUAUUUUCUUGCUGUUGAGAUACUACUCUACGAAGGAAAGAUAAAGGUUUAUGAUUGCAACUUAACUGUCUUCAGUAAGGACAAGUUUUUAGCCCACAUGCAGCCACUCUUGAAGUUGUUACCCAAGUUAUUGAAGCAGAGUAAGUUGAUGGAUCAUUUGCCGGCUGAAGUCUUGAUAAAGGAAUCAUAGGAUUUUGAAAGUCGAAAUAAGAACAUCAAGCUCCAGAGAAAUAGAGCCGGUGUAGCGUGCAGGCUGUUCUCGCUUACAUAUAUCGAGUGUUUACUAACCGGCAUAGAAAUGACCGAUAUGUAUAACGCUAAUGUGGAAAAGAUGCAAUGGGUUUGGGCUUAUGGGGUACUAAUUAAAUGGUUGGAGCCCGUGUGUAAAGAAGAAUAUGUACAAACACAAAAACGAAAAUAAAAACGAUAACAUUUUUAUAUUUCAAGCCACCUCACUUUACAUGUAUUGAAAUUUGAAUUUUCAUAAUGCAACAGAUUUUAUAUCUAUUGUAACAUAUAUAAUGCCUGUUAUGACAGAUUGAUUAUCUGUUGGAAUAGGUUGGUCAUCUCUUUCAUUAUGCAGAUGUUGUCUGAUAGGCAAUCUAUUACAAUAAAUCAAGAAAGAAAGUAGGAAGACCUAUUGUAUAAUUUCCAAAGAUGAACUAGCAAAUGGUUGGAGCCCGUGUACAAAGAAGAAUAUGUACAAAGACGGAGAUGAAAAUGAUAACAAUUGUUUAUUUCAAGCCAUUUUACUCUACAUGUAUUAGCAAUAAUUUCUCUGUCUAGAGAAAGUUGAAUUUUUAUAAUGCAAUAGAUUUUAUAUCUAUUGUAACAAAUAUUGUAUCUGUUGUAAUAGACAUAGUAGCUGUUGUGACAGAUUAUCUGUUGGAAUAGGUUGAUCAUAUAUUGCAUUAUGCAGAUGUUCUGUCUGUCUGUCGCAACAGAUAUACAAUCUGUUGUGACAUAUUAUCUAUCUGUUGCAAGUGAUCGGUAAUUUAUUGGAUCAAAUUAAAAAAUUAAGAAGACCUGUUAUAUAAUUUCCAACAGAUGACCUACGUGUUGCAUCUCACGUUGCAACAUAUGUCUAAAUCUGUUUGAUAAGAUAUGUCAUCUGUUACAGCAGAUGUAUUAUCUAUUGCAAUAUUUGAAUCUAAUACUCCCUUUCAAUUAACAUGUUAAAAACUAAGGAUUAAAUUAUAUUCAUAGACAGCAUAAAAUAAAUCGAAGCCUUCGAAAAUUACAUAAAAUAACUCAACAAAAAAAUAAAAUGUAAAAAAAAUCAUUAUGGUUACAAAUGAUCUACUCUACAAAUAAAUCAACUAGUUAAACCAAGGAGGAUAGGUUAUUACAUUAAUGGAUUCAAGCUAUAAAGAUCUAAUCAAUAUGGACAAGUUUUUCUUCAUCUGGUGUUACGAAAUUCAGUUUUGGUCGUCGUGGAUCUUUAACAUCGCUUGCGUAUGGCUUCUGAGCUUUUGCUUCUCCAUAUUUCCAUAAAAGAGCAGCAUAUCUUUUGUGGAGUAAUCCAUCAUCAAGUCCACCAUUUGGUACUUGUAACUCAUCGCUCAAAUACUCGGCCUAAGCGGUAACAAAAGGACCGCAAUUCCUGCGUUUUAAAGAAAUUGAUAAUCCAUAUCUUGCAGUUCAUGUAAGCGUUGUGAAAUUUAUGGAAUGAAACUAAAUCAUGACACUUAUACUUUCAGGAUACCAAUGGUUUGUUAAGCAAUUCCUUCAACAUAUUGUACAUCAAAUGGAUUAGCCAUUUUAUCCCGAUAUGCUUCAAUCUUUGACCAAUCAGUAUGAACCUUUUGGUCCAAAAAGCCACUAAUAUCAAGGUAAGUAGGCAAUAUUUUGGCUAUCUUUUGUAUCUCAGACAACGGCCCAAAACAUCUCCUUCGCGACAUCGAGUCAUAAACUCAGAUACGCCUUUUUUUUAGAACGACGACAGCCAACACCCAAUGGAAUUCAUCACCAUAAUUGAUUGGGAUAUACACUUCAUCGACCAAAUGCCAAGGUAAUCCAGUCGGAUGCUAAAACCUUUGAUGAUGUUGAUUAAGCAUUCCUCAUUUUGGAAAACUUUUGGUUGUUGUUGAUGAUACCUAUCGUAGGCAUUAUUGAUGUAAACUUUGUACAAAUAAUUACCUGUCGUGUAUCUAUAUUAUUCUUGUAUUUGCAACCUGUCCUUCUUUUGGAGGUAGUAAAAAAUGACAUCGAUGUGCUGCACAUAUUAUCAAACAUUUCAGAUUAUGUGACAAAAAAAUUAAUACGUAAAUGCAAUUAAAUAAAGUAUUAAUUAAUAGUAAUAUGUAUGGCAUUUAAACCUCAUCAUUACAGCAAGUUUGGGGUUGUGACAUCAAAUAGAACCAAUUCUUCAAUUUGAGAUGUGCAAUAACAAAGUCAAACAUAUCAAAACCAAGACUAUAUUCGUUUACUUUGUAGCAUUCGUCAUUUUGUUUUCUACAUGAUGAUUUAUAUGUGUUAAUGUCACAUUCUUACAACAAGAAUAGUAAUUACCAAUAUCUUUAAAAACAUAUUUAUGUAGCUGCCGGCAUAAUGCUUUAACAGUCCAUUGGCAACUAUUCUGAAUAGUCGUUUAUCAACUGUGUUAGUUUUAUUGAAGCCUCGUCCGAGAUGUUAAACCUUUCAAAUGGGUAACUCUUCCAUUAUCCCGAACUGACAGGCUCUACUUUUUCUUCUUCUUUGGAAGUAGUUGAUGGAUCAUCAACUGUGACAUUAUGCUCUUUAGCAGUAGCUUCAACUGUGACAUCCACCUGGAAAGCCAGAAUUGUCAAUGCUAAUUACAGAUAUAGAAUAGAUUGUCCAUCUGUUGCAAUAGAUGAGCCUUAUGUUACAACAGAUGAAUCAUCUGUUAGGAUGAAUUCAAAUAGGUAAAUCAAAGUAGUAUGAUAAUUUUGAACACAUGACCCAUCUUUUGCAACAUAAAACUCAUCUGCUGCAACAGAUAACGCAUCUGAUGUAAUAGAUUAACAAUAGUUACAACAGAUGUAUAUAUCUGUUUGAUAAUUUUUAGCAGAUGUAUCAUCUGUUGGAACAGGUGAUGUACAUUCACCUUUUUUGGCUCAUGCUUCUCUCUUGUGGCCCUUGCACACUGAACAUCGGCAUAAGACAAAGAUAGAGGCGUUGUAAUUUUGCUUAUUUCAAUGUUUGAUGAUGCCUUAGAAGUAUCUUUCCUUCUCCUCUUAGCCGCCUUGAUCUCUAGUGGAAUGUAUGGAUAUGAAAUCCUCUUUGAUGGAAAGACACCCCUAUUUGAUGCCAUUUUCUUUAUAGAAGCAGUUAGUGCAUUAAUAGUAUUAAUCACUCCAUCAUGUUUCACCUUACAGUCUUGACAUUUGCAUGCAGAACAUUUGCUACAUGUGGAAAAAUCUGGAGAAAAAUUUGUAUAGCCAGUAUGAUCAUAAUCAUAAUGGCUUGUUGUUUCAAAAACGAUAAGAGGAGCAUCAUUAGCCCCAAUAGCAGCAUCACGACCACUACCACUACCACUACCAUUGUUAACAGCAACAAGCCCACCCUCCAAAAUUAUUUUUCUUAUGAUAGUUGUUGCUCCAAACAAUUCCAUUUUUAUUCCAACAACGACCUUAGGGUCCGGUAAAAUUUGUACAGACCGUAAAGUAAGAAAAAAUGACAUCUUUAACUCUCGUUUGGUCGGAACAAGCCACGGAUGGACAAUCUCAAUUAAAUCAGUACAUAUAUUAAAAUGAUGAUGAAAUCAUUUAAAAUAAUCAUUAAUUAAAAUAAAAACUUGAUUAGAAUUGGACUUACUGCUUUCUUGGGGGUGAAAAGAUUAAGAAAUUUUGCAUUUCUAUCGGUUUUGGCUGACAACCAUCUCAGAAUUCUUGGACAGGAAACUUCUUCUUGGUAGUUCACUUGUUGUCUCAAAUAAAGAAUGGCUUCAAAUGCCUAAGUCUAUAACAUAACUCCAAUAAAUCAAAAGAAUUAUUGAAUAAGAAAAUGAUGAAUCAUAUCAUGAUAAAAGAAACAUUUACCAUGAAGGACCAUGGAAAGCCAUAUAAGUUGACUAUCUUUGGCGUUAACAGAGUCAACAAAUUUUGGAAAGAUAUUUUGAAGCUUUCAUAACCCCAAGGAUAGCUGUUAAAUGCCUCAAGAUCUUCAGACAGAUUUAUUAAACCAACGUUUAUAUUGUUGCUAACGUCUCUCACCCAAAGAAUAUUAUGUACAAAUCAAAUCAAGCACAAUGAUUACUUGUGCUUCUUUGAGAGCCCUUUACCUUUCAAUGCUUCUAUCAAAUUUUUGUUUUUGAAUCUUGGACCAACAAUCGACACAAAGUCAUCACGAUCACUCGAUUUGUCUUUGCCUAUUUUGGGUGUGCGGGGUGCUUUUUUUGGGUCAGAGUAGGUAUAACUUGAGAAGGAGAAGGAGGAUAAUAUUUUAGUCCAGUAACUAUGGAAAACUCCUUCCAACCAAAACAAACAGGCAUGCCAAAGUAAUUUAUCCACACCUCAUCCAUCUUUUCUUUGUUUUCAUACAUAAACCUACGCUGGAGAAGAUCGUAUACCAUAUUCAUCUGGAAACGAGCAUUAUUGUCCAUUGACAAAUCAAGAUAUUUCCCAAAGCAACUUUCCCUAAAAUAAGCAUCCAUUUUUUGUUCUCAAAGUAUUUUUCUGAAGGCGUCGAAAGAUUUUCCCAUGGUUGACUUAACCACAAAAUCACCAAUUAAGUCUGUGGCAGUAUCGCACUGUAUUCUCACAGGAUAAUAAUCAAUACUAAAGGUUUUGACCAACUCUUCAGCAAAAGGGCUAUUAGCAUUUGGAUCAUCCCUUUUAUGACAUUUCUCCUCCCCGUGUCCAUUAUCUUCUGCUCCUGAUUAAGAUAACUCUUGUAAAGGAAGCUCAUAGAGUGGUGAAAGUAGCCGAGCUGCUGCACUUUUUCCUUUACUUGGACUUGAUUCGGUUUCUUUUCUUUUGAGAGCCAUAUUAUAUUAAAUUAACAAAAACAUAAAAUAGAUUAUAAUUUGAUUAAUGCAUCGUUAAAAGGGGAUAACAGUAAAUCUAACAUGCACAAUGGUAAAAUAAUAGUUCCAAGAGACCACACAUCUAUUGCACCAUGUAUGUUAUUUGUUACAACAUAUAACCGACCUAUUGCAACGGAUGAGUAAACCAUUAAAAAUAAUAAAAAUAGAUCUCUAAUCUGUUGCACCAGGUAGUUUAUCUGUUGCAAUAUGUAACCAACCUGUUUCAAGGAUAAAUAAUUUGUUGGAAAUAGUAGUAACAGAUCACAUAUCUGUUGCACUAGGCAGUUUAUCUGUUGCAAUAUGUAACCAACCUGUUUCAAGGAUAAAUAAUUUGUUGGAAAUAGUAGUAACAGAUCACAUAUCUGUUGCACUAGGUAGUUUAUCUGUUGCAAUAUAUAACCAACUUGUUGCAACGGAUGACUAAUCCAUUGGAUACAGUAAUAACAAAUCACAAAUCUAUUGCACCAGAUAGUUUAUCUGUUGUAAUAUACAAUCAACCUGCUGCAACGAAUGAGUAAUCUGUUGGAAAUAGUAAAAAUAGACCACAUGUUUAU
rnacentral:lncRNA from 1 species